rnacentral:rRNA from 1 species
UCUGGUAGUUAUGGCGAGAAGGUCACACCCGUUCCCAUCCCGAACACGGUAGUUAAGCUUCUCUGCGCCAAUGGUAGUUGGGGGCUUCCCCC